rnacentral:rRNA from 1 species
UACGGAGGGGACUAGCGUUGUUCGGAAUUACUGGGCGUAAAGCGCACGUAGGCGGAUUUGUAAGUCAGGGGUGAAAUCCCGGGGCUCAACCUCGGAACUGCCUUUGAUACUGCAAAUCUCGAGUCCGGAAGAGGUGAGUGGAAUUCCUAGUGUAGAGGUGAAAUUCGUAGAUAUUAGGAAGAACACCAGUGGCGAAGGCGGCAUCCUGGACCGGUAUUGACGCUGAGGCGCGAAAGCCAGGGGAGCAAACGGG